GUUUAUUUUAUUAAAUCGCCCGGCUUUUCUACAUUUUCUUUAUUAGAAAAAUUCUCCAGAUAAAGUUUAUGAGCAAAGAUAGUUUUAAAAUGAUUUUUCUAGUAUCGGUUAGUUUUUGAGCAAUUAAAAACGUAUUUUGGACGUGGGACCCGCUAGUGCGGUAAAUGCAUUAUAUUUUUGACAACUUGUUGGAAUUUUGUAUUAAGUGAUAUUAUUGUACAAUAUUUUAAGAUAUUUGUAUUGGAGAGACAAAAAGAUAAGUUUUGAACCAAAAGGUGACAAGUGUCACCAUAAGAUUAAGUCUUGAGUUUGACUACUAUUCAUAAUUUUACCAUUUAAUUUAAAUUGGCCCAAAAAUCACUUCAUUUUGCAAGCUUCUUGG
rnacentral:lncRNA from 1 species